CAAGCCUUUCUUGCAAUAUGCCGCCAGCCUCUACACUCCCAAACUUCACUAUCUCAUCCCCAAGCAGCAAGCCAUCCAAAGCAGCAGGAGAACCAUCUGCAAUGUCAUCAAUCAUGGCAAAAGGAAGUCUGGUAACUAGAUCCUCUUCCAUGGGAUCAUUUCGGGAUAAUCCACCAUGCGGUGGAGCUGAUAUACCAGAACUUCUC
rnacentral:lncRNA from 1 species